GAUGACAUCACUAAUACAUAUGAAUAAAUGAGGUGUUUGUCAUCUGCACUAGCCCAAGAAUAUAACCACAACUAUGGCUAAGUACAAAAGUGACAAAGCUAAAGUAUGAUCUCAUCUGGCUGAGGAGUGUAGACAGGUGGGGACGAGCAGGAACUAACGGGCCCCAUAAAAGACUGUGGGUAGUGUGUCACCAUCUGGAUCUCAAAGUUUGCAUGUCCGAGUUGACAGCAUUUGUUUUUUUUUUCAGUAAGCCACCUUGUAAUUUAACUGUCGGACAGGUAGCCGCAUGUCUGCAGUCUUUACCUGUUUGUAAUUACCUGCACUCCCAUUUCAGACGACUCAUGAGGCCAUGUUGUUUUCUCAUGGAGCAGCACCGGAGGCCAGAACAGGUUGGGCGGCAUUCCCUGUCCCGUGACUUCUGAGGUGUUCAGGCAGCCAGAUGUGUUGACUUCCCAGAACCAGAUGUGUGGUUCGGGUGCAGCCAGAUGGACUCUCACCCUACUGUGACUGCCACACUUCAAUGACUCGUAUCUGAAGGGAAAUCACUAGGGCAGGGACAGUGGAGGAAAAAGGGGUGGGACGGGCAAGGGCGUGUUGGAUCAGCCUUCACAAAAGCACCAGCAAAACCCGUGACACAAAUUGUGGCCUCUUGCUUUUCGCCUCCACACGAAGCCGGCGGGACCCUGGUAGGCCCCUCACUCCUAUUCCACUCCCCAAGUCCAUGUCCAUAGGAGCCACGUUGACGGUCGUAUUCAAGCUAAAUAUUUAUUCGGUAAACACCUAAUAAUCUUAGGUGUGGCAGGACAGGCUUGGAGACAUUUAGUUUCAUCUGACCCCAUGGAGGAACUUGAAGAGCAAAAACUGGACAUGAGGGACCUGAACAAACGUCUGAAGGGGUUCCUGGAGCAUGUGAAUCAGUUGGAACAGACCAACUGCGAACUGGAGGAGCAGAUUGAGGAGUGGGGAUUCAGGAACAUCGCACCACGGCGGGACUGGAGCGACAAGGAGGCGCUGGCACAGGAACUGCGAGCUCAGAUGCAUCAUCUUCUGUUGUGGUUCUCAAUUUGGCCCCUGGGGGCCCCACUGCACAUUUCAGGUGUCUCAAUAUGUCAACACACACAAAUCAGGUUACAAAGCUCAAGAUAAUGAGUUAAAUCAGGUGUUUUAGAGAAGAGGCAUCAAAAUUAGCAAUUUCGAUGGAGCCUAGUAGUCGGUCAGGUCCCAAAUCUUUGUUAAAUUUAUGUCACUACUGUAUUUGAUAGUAAGAAUGAGUUUAGAAUAAUAUACUGUCAUUUUACACAUACUGUUUUGCAGUAUGCAUUCUGUGCAGCAUGUAAUGAUUUUGUAACAUUGUAUAUUCAAGAUUAAGAAUAUGUCGUUAUGGCACAUUAUACUUUUGCAUACUAUUUUUAAUACUCUUUUGCAGUAUGCAUGGUAUCCUGUAAUGUACCACUCAUACUAUUGGUGUAGUAUGCGGUAUGAAUAUUCAGUAUGACUCAAUAAUUAGAUGCAUACUAUAUAUUAUACUAAGAAUAUUUAGAAUGGAAUUCUACCAUACUGCUAUUUUAGUAUACUGUAUGCAUACUGUGCAGUAUGUAAUAAUUGCAUAACAUUCUAUAUUAAAGAUUAACAAUAUGUAUGUUAUGGCAUACUAUACUUUUUGCAUACUAUUUGCAAUACUAUAUGCACAGUAUACUGUUCUGCACUACUCUUACUAUUUAACUGUGAAUAUUUUGUAUUCAGUCAAUAAUCUGAUGCAUACUAUAUAUGCUAAGAAUAUGUUUGGAAUUGCAUACUACUUAGUACUAUUAGUAUGUAGUAUGCAUUCUUUGUAGCAUGUAAUAAUUGCAUUACAUUCAGUAUUCAAGAUUAAGAAUAUGUGCGUUAUGUCAUACUAUUAUUUUUGCAUGCUAUUUUGAAUACUGUUUUGCAGUGUGCACUGUUCUGCACUACUCAUACUGUUUAUGCAGUAUGCAUUAUGAUAACUAAGAAUAUUCAGUUUCCGUCAGGAAUUUGAUGGCAUUCUAUGUAUGUACUAAGAUAUGUUUGGAAUGGCAUACUACUAUACUACUCAUACUCUUUUUAGUAUGCAGUAUGCAUACUGUAUACUAAAUGUAAUAAUUCUAUAUUCAUUCUACAGUCAAGAUUAUGAAUAUGUUUGUUAUUGGCAAACUUAUUUUUGCAUACUGUUUAAAUACUCUUUUGCAGUAUGCAAAGUAUAGUGUUCUGUACUACUCAUACUAUCUAUGCUGUAUAUUAACUGAAUAUUCUGUGUUUAGACACAGUUUAGAUGGCAUACUAUGUUUGCAAUAUAGAGUAUGUAUACUAUGUAUCAUGUAAUUACUGCAUUGCAUUCUAUGUUCAAGAUUAAGUAUAUGUUUGUUAUGGUAUACUAUAAUUUUUGCAUACUGUUUUGAAUACUCUUUUGCAGUAUGCAAAGUAUACCGUUCUAUACUACUCAUACUAUUUAUGAAGUAUGUUUACACUAGAUGACAUACUAUAUUUGAUACUAAGAAUAUGUUUGGAAUGGUAUACUACUAAACUAUUCAUAUUAUUUAUGUAUACUGUGCAGUAUGUAAUAAUUACAUGACAUUCUUUAUUAAAGAUUAAGGAUAUGUUUGUAAUGGCAUACUUUGCAUACUAUUUUUUCAUUAUGCAGUGUGUAGGGUAUACUGAGUUCAAAUUGCCUGUUUUGCACUGUAUAUGCAUGCAGUAAUCAGAUGACAUAAUGCCAUACUACUGUACUACCCAUACUAAUUAAGCAGUAUGCAGUAUGUUAACUGUAAAGUAUGCCAAUAUUCUGUAUGCAUGCAAUAAUUAGAUGGCAAACAUGUCUUAUACUUAGAAUAUGUUUGAAAUUGCAUACUACCACAUUACAAAUGCCAUUUUUGUAACAUGCAGUACAUUCACUAUAAGCGUUACUAAUUCAUUUUAUCUCCUUAAAAUAGAUUAUAUACGAGAGUGACUUACAGUGCCAAUGACAAUGAUUAACUGUAAAUUAUGCUGCCACAAUGGCUCAUGAAUCAUCAAAAUGGCAGCCAGCCAGUCAAAAUAUGGUAAGCUAAUAUUGCGUUCUAUGAGAAACACAACCUUCCACCAACCUUUAGAAAGUCUUUCUUUGAAUAAAUGCUUCAUUUAGAAUGGAAUACUAGCA
ensembl:lncRNA